UGGGGAAUAUUGGACAAUGGGCGAAAGCCUGAUCCAGCCAUGCCGCGUGUGUGAAGAAGGUCUUCGGAUUGUAAAGCACUUUAAGUUGGGAGGAAGGGCAGUAAGCGAAUACCUUGCUGUUUUGACGUUACCGACAGAAUAAGCACCGGCUAACUCUGUGCCAGCAGCCGCGGUAAUACAGAGGGUGCAAGCGUUAAUCGGAAUUACUGGGCGUAAAGCGCGCGUAGGUGGUUCGUUAAGUUGAAUGUGAAAGCCCCGGGCUCAACCUGGGAACUGCAUCCAAAACUGGCGAGCUGGAGUAGGGCAGAGGGUGGUGGAAGUUCCUGUGUAGCGGUGAAAUGCGUAGAUAUAGGAAGGAACACCAGUGGCGAAGGCGACCACCUGGGCUCAUACUGACACUGAGGUGCGAAAGCGUGGGGAGCAAACAGG
rnacentral:rRNA from 1 species